UCAUGUGGAAAUGCUUAGUGUAAAUAAGCAGCAUAUUGUCUUUCUAGAGACCUCCUAACUUUCCUUAUUUCAAUUACCAGAAGCCACUAAUCUCAGCAGACAUUCACAUAGUGGCAGAAGGGUACAGGCCCUCUUAUGUCUAGACUGCACACCAUGGGGUUUUUGCAUAAGUGACUUGCUGUAAGGCUUCCCAGAUUGCUGGAUUUUUCUGCAAAUCCAUGAGCACUUUCUCAGAGCUGGGCUAUCUAAUUUUUCAGCUUUGUCAUCUUUUGCUGUUAAGUUCCUGCUCUUUGUAUGGCUGCAGCAGAGGUUGGCUGAGUGUUCUGCCUCACCUUCCUCAAAGGUUAGUGCAAAUGGUGUAGAAGAUGAUGGGAUUUCAACAGUUUCCUCCAGUAUGUAAAGUCUACACGUUAUGGUUACCUCUGCUGCUCAUCCUACUCCAAAAGGUUGCCUGCCCUUAAAAGGCAAGAGAGGUGUACAUUUACCUGGGAAUAGCAACAAAAUCCAAAGAACAGAGGAGACUGCCCGCUGUGGUGAGAUACCAGUGACAAGGGAGGAGAAUUCACAAUGGAAUCCAAACAAGAUUUCCCAUGGCAAGUCCCAACGUGUUUUCUAACUAAAUGAGUAUCUAUGCAGAUCAUUUACACUUAGCAAAUUCUUGCAGAUAAAUUAUAGUAAAUAAAGAGUCUGGCUUUAAAAUACAUGCCACAAUCAACUGCUGGUUUCUGUUGCUUACCUUUGGUGCCACAUUUAUAGCACAACACUGAAGCCAAGGGGUAAAUGAAAGGCUGUGGCUUUGUCCAUGCUGACAACCUCCUGUCCUACCCUGGGAAGGUGUAAGAGGCAGCCCAGUCACGUGUACUCACUGUGACCAGCUCUCAUCAGUUUGUGAGAAGUGAGGGUUUGUGUGGAUUCCCUUAGCAGCCCUAUUGAUGAUGUAAGACAGAGAAUUUUUACAGCUUCUGUGCAGUCCCUUCUUCUCCAUAUGGUAUAUCCUACAAUGCCGCAUUUAAAUGCUAAUUAUUGAUAAAAGAAUAAACCUUUAUAAGUUUGUUUAAUUUGAGUGGGGAGACCAAAGAACUAUUCAUAGAACAGAAACUGAAGUGAAUUUCAGUGAUUGUGCACUGUAUAAUGAGGAGCUAAGUAAUUCUGUUGUACAAGUAAUAAGAUUUGGCUGCUAGUGACAGUGCAGGAAAGUAAGCCAUAUUCUAUUAAAUAUAUGUUGUGUUUUUUUCUUUUUUUUAUAAUUGUGAAAAAUGAAAAGCCAAAAGUAUAUUGGACUGAAUCUAAAAAGCUAAAUCCUGUUGCUGCUGAAUUCACUAAGUUCAGUCAUAUACCCUGCACCUUCAUAUCUUGUUAUUAAGCAGAAACAGCCAUGAGAAUAAAUUAGGAGUGCUCCUUUAUUGCCUUUGGUUCUGUCUUUAAUUUAAAUGUAUUGAGUCCUCCUUCAUGUUUAAAGAUAAGAAGUCACAAUAAUAUAAAAGGCUUUACUAAAAGUGACAAGACACUAAUAGAAGCAAUUGGAAUGACUUCUGUGUUGCUCUGCCUGCAUUCAAUAUCAGCAGCCUUUCAAAUGGAUAUUAUGUACUACAGGUUACUUAUAUAUAAUCAACCAGUUUAAUGUGUAAAAUGGAACUGUCUUUUUUUUGGCUUUUUGGGGUUUUUUUAAAGAUUGUUGCUGUUACACAUCACAAAAUCUUCUGACCUUGUCAGCAGAGAAAGGAUGCAGCAAUCUUAAGAAAAUAUGGUAAGUCUGAGGCUUGUUAUGUGCAGUGUGUUCAGAGGUAUGAAAUUGGAUUGUGCUGGUAAUGCUGUAAGCACUGUAACAGCUGUUUGGUCUGUGUGGAGAGUGUUAAUAACAUCAAAUAUACAAAAUAGUCCAGUUCAAAUUAUGAACAAGUUGCAGUAGCAUCUCGGUAGUGGAAGAAGGGGAUUUAAAAAAGAA